UUUUUUUAUACUGAGUGAAGGAAUAUGAUUGUUGAAUUUAAUUUUUGGAGGUUUUUCUAAUGACACAAGGUACAGUAAAAUGGUUUAACGCAGAAAAAGGUUUUGGCUUCAUCGAAGUAGAAGGUGGAAACGAUGUAUUCGUACACUUCUCUGCUAUCCAAUCUGAAGGUUUCAAAACACUAGAAGAAGGUCAAAAAGUUGAAUUCGGCGUUGAAGAAGGCAACCGUGGCCCUCAAGCUACAAACGUUGUGAAACUUUAAUUCUCAAUUUAGAAUUAACAGUUCAAAAUCCAAGAGACAUCCACAUGUUGUGGGUGUCUCUUUU
rnacentral:other from 1 species